CCUACGGGAGGCAGCAGUGGGGAAUUUUGGACAAUGGGCGCAAGCCUGAUCCAGCCAUGCCGCGUGAGUGAAGAAGGCCUUCGGGUUGUAAAGCUCUUUCGGCCGGGAAGAAAUCGCAUGGGUUAAUACCCUGUGUGGAUGACGGUACCGGAAUAAGAAGCACCGGCUAACUACGUGCCAGCAGCCGCGGUAAUACGUAGGGUGCGAGCGUUAAUCGGAAUUACUGGGCGUAAAGCGUGCGCGGGCGGUUUUGUAAGACAGGCGUGAAAUCCCCGGGCUUAACCUGGGAACUGCGUUUGUGACUGCAAGACUAGAGUACGGCAGAGGGGGGUGGAAUUCCACGUGUAGCAGUGAAAUGCGUAGAGAUGUGGAGGAACACCAAUGGCGAAGGCAGCCCCCUGGGUCGAUACUGACGCUCAUGCACGAAAGCGUGGGUAGCAAACAGGAUUAGAUACCCUGGUAGUCCACGCCCUAAACUAUGUCAACUAGGUGUUGGGUGGGUAAAACCAUUUAGUACCGUAGCUAACGCGUGAAGUGACCGCCUGG
rnacentral:rRNA from 1 species